rnacentral:snRNA from 1 species
GUUCCCUUUGGUAACAUACUAACAAAACAAUUAGAAUGUUACAGAGAUGAUUAGCAUGGCCCCUGGCCAAGGAUGACAUGGAAAAAUGCCUUCCAUUUAA